GACUCCGUGGCGCAAUGGGACCGCGUCUGACUCCAGAUCAGAAGGUUUCGUUUUCAAAUCACGUCGGGGUCA
rfam:Nematostella vectensis strain CH2 x CH6 NEMVEscaffold_1791_Cont38707, whole genome shotgun sequence.